CCUACGGGCGGCAGCAGUGAGGAAUAUUGGUCAAUGGCCGGAAGGCUGAACCAGCCAUGCCGCGUGAAGGUCAGUGCCCUAUGGGCGUUAAACUUCUUUUGUGCGGGAGCAAUAAUGGUCACGUGUGGCCAGACGAGAGUACCGUACGAAUAAGCAUCGGCUAACUACGUGCCAGCAGCCGCGGUAAUACGGGGGAUGCAAGCGUUAUCCGGAUUUAUUGGGGUUGAAGGGUGCGUAGGCUGUGAGGUAAGUCAGCGGUGAAAUGCCCCCGCUCAACGGGGUGAAGUGCCAUUGAUACUGCCUUGCUGGAGUGCGGAUGCCGUAGGAGGAAUGUGUGGUGUAGCGGUGAAAUGCAUAGAUAUCACACAGAACACCGAUUGCGAAGGCAUCUCACGAAUCCGCGAUUGACGCUGAUGCACGAAAGCGUGGGUAUCAAACAGGAUUAGAUACCCGAGUAGUC
rnacentral:rRNA from 1 species